GAAAAGUCUAGGGUAGAAGAUGGAGCCGAGGAGGUAUGAUGUGAAGAAUGAGGAUAAUCUCGAUGAUGAUAAUGGUAGGCUGGAACUUGGAUGUGCAUUGGCAGGUCUGCAUUGGCAGACCAGAUGUCACCAUACAGACAACAAUAUCCUACAGGACAGAAAAGCUUGAAAGUAAAAGAAACUUUGGUGUUUGAAUAAACCACACAUUUGUCCUGGACAACCUGCCUAUCGUUGAACUGUUACAUGAGAGAAAAAGAGAUUUCUCUCUUAUUUGAACAAUUGCAUUUUCAAGUCUUUUUGUUACAGCAGCAUAACUGAUACCCUAACCCUGACAAAUACAUUUUUAAACAAAAGGAGGAAUGCUACUAUCGUACUCUAUGCUGGUCCAGUCUUACUUGGGGUGCAGUAUUCUCAUCUGUGAAUCACAUUUCAAGGGGCCUAAAGACAAAGUAGAAGUGUUCAGAUAACAGCAACAUGAUUGGUGAGAAAUUCAAAGUUGAAGAAACUGGAAGAGCAGAUUUAGAGUAAGUAGGAGUGCCACUUUCAAAUGUCUGAGGAACUGGCCUGUGAAAGAAUGAUUCACUUUGUUCUGUGUAGUUUCAGUAGAUAGAAGUAUGGUUCAACGGGAAAACUGAUUUUGCUGAAGAGAAAGAUUUCUGGCUGUCAGGUCUGCAUAGACAUUGGAGGCACUGAGUUCCCUGCUCAUGGAGAUAUUUUUCACAGAGCCUGGAUAAUCAUUUGGCUGGAUUUGUAACAACUGUGUAUCAUACAGCAUGAAAAUGCAUUUUCUAGCUUCCCUUGAAGUGAAAUGUGAGCAAAAAUGAUGCCAGCCACUCCCAGACCGGCCCAUAGAAACCUCCCAUAUUCUUUCUUCUUCUGCUGCUGGAUAUUGACACAGGGGAUGACUUUGAAAGCUGAGUAUUGAAGAUGGCAGAAGCUGUCUUUCAGCCUUGGUCCCUGAACAACAUGUUGAGCAGAUCCCGUGGUAAUCUGGAACUGCCCUGGACUGUAGGAAUCAACUUCUUUAUACAACAAUGGCAGAGAAGUUCUACAAUAUGGAGUCCUGUGAUAAAAGCAGAUCAUUCUCCAUAAUGUGGGUGUCCUCAUCCAAUCAGUUGAAAGCCUGAAAAGAACAAAAAGCAGAUCUUUCUUGAGCAAGAAGGAUUCUCCAACAGACUGCCUUCAGACUUCAUCUGCAGCAUCGGCUCUUCCUGGUUCUGCAGUAAACUGUUCCUGGACUUGACUACAGCUCUUUCUCGAGUCUCCAGCCUGCUGGCUUCGUCUAUGAGAUUUUGUACUCACCAGGCAUCCACAAGCACAUGAGCCAAU
rnacentral:lncRNA from 1 species